rnacentral:rRNA from 1 species
CCUACGGGAGGCUGCAGUGAGGAAUAUUGGUCAAUGGACGUAAGUCUGAACCAGCCAAGUAGCGUGAAGGAAGACUGCCCUAUGGGUUGUAAACUUCUUUUAUACGGGAAUAAAGGCUUCCACGUGUGGGUGUUUGCAUGUACCCUAUGAAUAAGGAUCGGCUAACUCCGUGCCAGCAGCCGCGGUAAUACGGAGGAUCCGAGCGUUAUCCGGAUUUAUUGGGUUUAAAGGGAGCGUAGGAGGGUGGUUAAGUUAGCUGUGAAAGUUUGAGGCUCAACCAUAAAAUUGCGGUUGAAACUGGAAGUCUUGAGUGCAGUGGAGGUAGGCGGAAUGCGUGGUGUAGCGGUGAAAUGCUUAGAGAUCACGAAGAACUCCGAUUGCGAAGGCAGCUUACUGAAC